UGUUCUGUGGCUUAGUUGGUUGAAGCGCCGGACUAGCGGGAACGGAGUUGUGGGUUCGAAUUCCACAAAAACAA
rfam:Aedes albopictus isolate Foshan contig143754, whole genome shotgun sequence.